rnacentral:lncRNA from 1 species
ACAGGCUCCUCCUCUCCGUUUACCUCUCUCAUCUCUCCUACAGAAACCCUACCCGCCGCCCCUAAUUCCACCGCCUUAACCAGGCGGCGCCCCCACCUUUCCCCACCAAAUCAACACCCUAGUGCCUUCUCGACCUCCUCUUCCCAAGUCUUUGACCAGCUCCCUUCGAAUCUAUUUGGAACUCGUCGAAUGUUAAAUCUGAAGGCCGAGCUUUUAAAACCAAACCCAAACCCGUACAUGCAGAGUUGUUCCUUGUUAAAAAACAAGUACUUGACAUCAUUUAGGAGUCCCAAGCCCCAGGUUCGAGUUUUAGUUGGUGAGUCCGUCCUUCAUUUCUUGGUCCACCUCUCCUAUUUUUUUGGUUGAUUCAAUUAAAACUCUGUUAAUUGUGCUAUUUGAGAGUUGGUUGUGUUCUUAGGCUCUCCGUUAAGUUUUGUUUUCCCAAAUUGAUUUCUUUAACUGCUUUUGAUCCAUUAAGCACGACUUUGUUAGUAUCUUUGUUUAAUUAUUCCAAACCCGCUUAGGGUUGAUUUUGCUGUGUCAACCUUGUUAUUAAUGAUCUUGUUACUUUUAAUUUAUAAUUGUCAAGGUAAUAGUCUGCGCAUAGUCAAAUUGUUUACUCGUGUUGUUGGGGCUUUUUGGGUCAGAAUUUGAGUUUCUUAAUGUUUAUUUGGACUGAUUUGGAACCAGCCUUGGGCUUUUGAGUCAUUUCUGACCCAAUUCAAGAUGCCCGGUUGUUCUGAGCACAAGUUUGUUUGGUUAGCAAGGUAAUUAACAGGGUUUAAAAGGGUAAAUUGGGAAAUCUAGGUAAAGAAUAUCUCUAUAACUGAAAUAGGAAGCUUCCCAGAAGCUGUCAUUAGGACUCAACCGAAAAUCUGAUAGUUGCCUAGGGAUAUCUAAGCUAUAUUGCAAAUGUAAAAAGGGUCUAAUUGCAAAAUUUGAAUUCUUUGAGGCUGCCCUAAUGUCUUGCCUAUAAAGGCAUCAAGACUUGUUAUUCAAGUCAGAUUUCGGAGAAACAUACUCCUUGAGAAAAGCUAAAGGGAGGAAUACUUUUAGGUGUUGAAGUCCCUGCAUUUCAUUGUUAAAAAACCCAUUAAGUUUCUGCAGAAUACUUAAAAAUUUGCUCUAGCUACAUAUCUGGUUUAAAAAAAUGGCUUGAGCUUUUGGUUUAGAGUUGAUUUUGGACUUCCUUUACUGUUCCAUUGAAAAACCUUUUUGGUUGAUUGUGGAAGAUUUACUGUUUCAUUGGUGUUGUUGGUUCUGGGCUGACCGCUAUUGCUUGCUGUCGAUCUCUCAAUCUCUUAUUGCUUUUGCUUCCCAGGUACCUCCUUAGCCCAUGAAUAACGAGUGAUUGUUGAUAAUGUGAAUCGGGUGGAAUACUGAUUGAACGCAGGCUGCAUUUGAACUUAGCUUCCCCUGUUCCUCCUACUUCUUUAAUCUUCUGUAGUAGAUAUGUAGUUUUAGAUGUUAUCUAAGCUAUCACUUGCACAUUUAAUGUUGUGUAUGUAUGAUUAAUUGGACAAUGUGUGCCAUGGGAUCACUGUAAUAGAUUGUCAAUUAUACCAUAAUCAAUAGUGUAAUAGUAUGUCGUUUCACCUGCGGAAUUGUUCUCUUAAAACCAGUUUGUGAUUGAUUGUUGAACUUACAUAAGUUAGUUUGUUCUAGUUGUG